UGGUAUGAUUGAUUCGAUUUUGCCCCUAGGUUAACUGAUCAGACUAGUCCUCAUGUGCAAUAGGCACUCUGCAUAUCUGGUUCAUCAUCAUAGUUGAAACUUAAUUAUCAAGUCCAUAUUUUAGUCCUGAGAAAAAGAUGUCAGAUCACUGACUUGUAAGUCAGCAAUGUGGAAAUCAAUAUUGAUGGAAGCUGGCCAUGCCAUAAUAGGAACAUUUGACAUCCAAG
rnacentral:lncRNA from 1 species